AAAGUAGCUUCUUUUUUCAGAACUGCAGGUCUUCCUUUCAAACACUGCUCAAUAUCCUUUCCAGGACUCUAUUCCCAGUUGCCAUGUCUGCAUGACCAGGAUCUCAUGAAGGCAAUGCUGGGCUUUGUCCUGGUGGUCAGAGGGGCACAGAGGGGAUGCUCCUCCCUGCAGCCAGGGAGCGAUCCUGACCCCACGACAAAGCCCAUCCCCAGGUGCAGAUUGGAUUCAGGUUCCUGGGAGCUCCUAAGAGCUUGUGAGCAAGUUUGCAGGAGAAGAUGAAGAGACCAUGACUGCUAGGGGACUUUAAUGAGAACUACUUCUAUUCUCAUGGUGCAGUUAAGAGUCACAUAAUGAAACAGAGGCUAGCUUGUUUGUUUUUUAAUGAGC